AUGAACGCUGGCGGCGUGCCUAAUACCUGCAAGUCGAGCGCACGGACGAGAAGCUUGCUUUUCUGAUGUUAGCGGCGGACGGGUGAGUAACACGUGGAUAACCUACCUAUAAGACUGGGAUAACUUCGGGAAACCGGAGCUAAUACCGGAUAAUAUUUUGAACCGCAUGGUUCAAAAGUGAAAGACGGUCUUGCUGUCACUUAUAGAUGGAUCCGCGCUGCAUUAGCUAGUUGGUAAGGUAACGGCUUACCAAGGCAACGAUGCAUAGCCGACCUGAGAGGGUGAUCGGCCACACUGGAACUGAGACACGGUCCAGACUCCUACGGGAGGCAGCAGUAGGGAAUCUUCCGCAAUGGGCGAAAGCCUGACGGAGCAACGCCGCGUGAGUGAUGAAGGUCUUCGGAUCGUAAAACUCUGUUAUUAGGGAAGAACAUAUGUGUAAGUAACUGUGCACAUGUUGACGGUACCUAAUCAGAAAGCCACGGCUAACUACGUG
rnacentral:rRNA from 1 species